UGGGGAAUAUUGGACAAUGGGCGCAAGCCUGAUCCAGCAAUGCCGCGUGAGUGAAGAAGGCCCUAGGGUUGUAAAGCUCUUUCGUCAGGGAAGAUAAUGACGGUACCUGAAGAAGAAGCCCCGGCUAACUCCGUGCCAGCAGCCGCGGUAAUACGGAGGGGGCAAGCGUUGUUCGGAGUUACUGGGCGUAAAGCGCACGUAGGCGGCUAACCAAGUUGGGGUGAAAGCCCAGGGCUUAACCCUGGAACUGCCUUCAAGACUGGUUGGCUAGAGGCCGAGAGAGGUAAGGGGAAUUCCUAGUGUAGAGGUGAAAUUCGUAGAUAUUAGGAAGAACACCGGUGGCGAAGGCGCCUUACUGGCUCGGAACUGACGCUGAGGUGCGAAAGCGUGGGGAUCAAACAG
rnacentral:rRNA from 1 species